rnacentral:rRNA from 1 species
CCUACGGGGGACAGCAGUGAGGAAUAUUGGUCAAUGGACGAGAGUCUGAACCAGCCAAGUAGCGUGAAGGAUGACUGCCCUAUGGGUUGUAAACUUCUUUUAUAAAGGAAUAAAACGAGGCACGUGUGCCUUUUUGCAUGUACUUUAUGAAUAAGGAUCGGCUAACUCCGUGCCAGCAGCCGCGGUAAUCCGGAGGAUCCGAGCGUUAUCCGGAUUGAUUGGGUUUAAAGGGAGCGUAGAUGGGUUGUUAAGUCAGUUGUGAAAGUUUGCGGCUCAACCGUAAAAUUGCAAUUGAUACUGGCAGUCUUGAGUACAGUUGAGGUAGGCGGAAUUCGUGGUGUAGCGGUGAAAUGCUUAGAUAUCACGAAGAACCCCGAUUGCGAAGGCAGCUUACUAAACUGUGACUGACAUUGAUGCUCGAAAGUGUGGGUAUCAAACAGGAUUAGAUACCCCGGUAGUC